ensembl:lncRNA
GUUUACAGUUAGCCUUGUCCUGCUAUCUAAUUCUACAGUUAGCCUGGUCCUGCUAAACAAGUCUUGCCAGGUCUCCCUCUCAAAACAGGCUCUGAACCCUACGGGAUCUUCUUAGCCUAGGCAACAGUCUAUUUUGUGAUAACAAUCUACUCCUUGUCAACAUAAUUUGGCAUAUGACAUGGAGUACAAGAAGUGUAAUCCCAACUAGCGCAUAUGGUUUAUUGAAAGUUGUGGGAACAUACAUUUUUGGUUUACCAUUGGUUCUUGGGAGGAAACCAUAACUUUACUGCCUGGUAAAACGGAGCAUUUUUUAAACAUUCUGAAAACGGAAGUGAAGAGUUAGCCUGUUCUGGGAACGUUAAGUUUUAGGUUGCAGGGAGGAUUCUGAGAAUGUUUUACUAUGGUUCCAGGGAGGUUCUGAGAACGUCUAACUAUGGUUCCAGGGAGGUUCUGAGAACGUCUAACUAUGGUUCCAGGGAGGUUCUGAGAACGUCUUACUAUGGUUCCAGGGAGGUUCUGAGAACGUCUUACUAUGGUUCCAGGGAGGUUCUGAGAACAUCUAACUAUGGUUCCAGGGAGGUUCUGAGAACGUCUAACUAUGGUUCCAGGGAGGUUCUGAGAACGUCUUACUAUGGUUCCAGGGAGGUUCUGAGAACGUCUAACUAUGGUUCCAGGGAGGUUCUGAGAACGUUUUACUAUGGAUCCAGCUGGUUUCCCACUGGUGACAAGGAGGAAGAGGAGGACCAACCCAACCUGUGGUCUGUGGAGUCUGGUCCUGACGUUAGGGUGAAGCUGUAGCAGUGCAGCUGUAGAAUACAGGGAGCUGAGUGUGUAAGGCUGUGUGUGUUGGCUUUCACACUGGGCAGGACUGUUCCUCUUGUCAGACAUAUUCCAAUAUUCCACUUUUAUGUUAGUAACUUCCCCCAAAUAUCUACUGUUUAAACUGUAUUAAUGCAAUAACACAAUGAAUGUU